AUUCCUGCACUCUCUAGGUCUGGUUUUUGCUUCCUCCCCCUGCAGCCCCCCUAGCAGCUCGGCGCUGCAAAAUGCCACCCGGCACCUGUCUGCCAGGAGCCUUUGUGUCUCCCCAAGUGCCCAAACCGUUUCCAAAAGAAAAGCAAAGAAACGCUCUUCUCCGACGGUGAAAGGGGAACUGACCUGUGAAAGAGGAAGUAUCCUUUCAAGGACAAGUGUUUCUCCCUGCCCCUCUUUUUUCUGUUUUUAUUAUGACUUUCAAUCCUCAUUCAUAGGUGGACCCUGAAGGUUACAGAUUUCUUAUUUAUUCACCCAUUCCUCCCCAAAUAAAAUGGAACCCAUAGGAUUUUACAAAAUGGAUCAGUGUGUUACAUUGAAGAGGAAGACCACUCACACUCAGAGUCACCGUGAUUGACCACUUUUUCUAAGAAGGAACAAGUAGUUAGCACGAUGUAAAUGUAGUGGGAUUGAAGGGAUUUGUUAGGGAAGAUGGAAGAAGGGACAGUAUUUGGAAAGAGAUGGCAAAGAGUGAGUGGGAUGUAGGGGUUGUGGGAGGUGGAAGAGGAAUCUAUUAUAUUAGACUCUUUAGCCACCUUUGAUUGUGAAAUAACUCCAGUAUGUUCUCAAAAUGAGUCACCUCAAAAGACUAUUUAUUCAUCACAAAAGGUGUAUAGCAAGCUGGCAUUUUGUUACUCAACAGAUUUGCUUCCAGCAUGUUCUCCAAGAUACCCCUUGCUAACUUACUAGUAUAAAUCUAUGGGCAUAAGCCCAAGUGCUGCAAAAUGAAUGCAGCAUUAUUCCAGCAAAGUUCUCGACCCAGUAUCUUUAUUGCUGAAGAAAGCUGGAGGAGGAAGCAGAGCACAUCUUGAUUUCUAGAAACCAGGUUGUUCAACAGUGCUGACAGUUUGAAAAAUCUUGUUCAGACUUGGAAAUUGAGAAAAUUUGAUAUGGAAGUUGCCAGUGAACUAUAAAUAUAGAACAGCUCUAUGUCAGUUUCACCAAGUGUCCUUCCUCCCCCUAUGUAUUCUUUAAGAAUAGUCUCACUGACUUGUAAUCCUGACCUAUUCAAAUUCUUCACAGAACUUCCAUAUUAGAAAUCUAAUCUACUCAUUGAUUUGGUUGAAUGCUAAAUUCCUCUAAUACAGACUGGUCUUCUCUGGUUAAAACAGGUUUCUUUGGUCAAAGCAAAACAAAUUCAGGAACGGAAACAAACUCCAAGGGUAGAUGCUCAAGCAUCCAGAAAAGAGGGACACCACAUUAUUAAAUUUGACACAGUGUUGACAGCAGAAGAUUAAAUAGCAAAAAGAAAUUCUUCACUUGUUGUGCUGGAGCCCCAUAGUGAUUAAUAAUGAUGAUGGAGCAUGGGGAAGAUAAAGAAAUGCUUGGAAACAUUAAGCACUAAGCAACAAGCUGGGGGGAUGAAACUGAGAGACUGAGAAGGCAAAAGUCAAGGACCAACUCUUCAAUCUGAAUGGGAAGCAGCAUGACCUAGUGGAUAGAGCAUGGCCUGGGUGUCAGAAGGAUCUAGGUUCUAAUUCAGAUCUGCCACUUGUCUACCGUCUGGCCUUGGGCAAGUCACUUCACUUCUCUGUGCUUCAGUUACCUCAUCUGUAACAUGAGGAUUAAGACUGUGAGCCCCACGUGGGACAUGGACUGUGCCCAGCCUGUUUAGCUUGUUAUCUACCAAUGCACUUAGUACAGAGCCUGGCACACAGUAAGCACUUAACAAAUGCCAUAAAACAAUGCAGGAAAAGAUAACUAUAUUCUAAGCAGAUUUAGACAAAUGUCUUGGGAAAGCAUGUCAGACUAUUGAUAACUUAAAAGGGAGUUUCUUCAGUUUUUUUCUAGUAAAUUUAUUGUGGCCGAAGGGAUGUUCCUUUGCACUUAUCCAACAUACCACCAACAUCAAACAUACCCCACAGUAGUAACUAAUGGCAGAAAAUGUGGUUUGACCCAUUACCACUCUCCUGGAGUGAACCACUCAAUUGAAUUCUUUUCUAGAAUUUGGUCUUUCCAGAUGGCAGUAACAAACCAAGGAUCCAUUUGAAGGUUUGGGACUAAUUUCUUCCAAACAUCAUAUUGGAUUAAGCUUGAAAAGGCAGCCACAUUCUCUUGAAUAUAGAGCCUAUCCAGACUAAUCAAAAUAGCUUACACAGCAGAUCAAACUGAAAGCAGUUAUUUCCCAAACGAGGCCCUUUACAUAAGAGCAAAACUCUGAGUGUGUAGCCAUCUGCCUGCCUUAUGACACAAUCAAAAUGAUUUUAAGAGUACUUAGGAAAGUUCGUGGUUCAUGUCCAGUUACCUCUAGUGAUAUCUCUCCCCUGAUUGUGUUUACCCAUUUAGACAUGGUCCCAGCCAGGUUCUGAGGCAUCAACUGAGGGACCAGGACCCAAGCUUAACUCCACCCUCCUUCAUCUUCAAAGAGCAUUCAGUGAUUUUAAAUACAUUUCAAAAGAUGUGAGAAACAGUUGGAAUUUGGGACAGAUUUCUACCAAAUUGUGCAGCUAAACUCAGCUUUGCCGCUCUCCUUUCCCUAAAAUAACUGAGGCAAUCAGUUCUCAUGAACAAAGAAAUGGAAAUGCAGACCAUCUAAAUUCAAACUUCAUGUUUUGUAUGUAUCAUACCUCUAUUCUGAAUGUCUGAUCAUCAGCCUGAAUAUUUUAUGUUAUUAUAUAUACUAAAAUAGGGCCAUUUCUAUGGAAGGAAACAUUUCAAAUAACUAUGGUUGAGUGCAUUAUACUGGUCUGGAAUGUAAUAAAAAAUAAUGAGCAUCAA